CCCAGUAGUCUUUUGUCUCGCGAGAGUCCCGGUUUUCGGCGGUGCUUUGUCAAUUGGUCUGGCUCCUCCGACACUUGGAGCCUUUUGCCGGGUCGAGGCUGAGUGGGGCGGCUGUCUGGUGUCGUGGGUACGGCCAGGGACCUUGACGAGGCGCAGGCUGGGAGCUGCGUCUCCUCCCACCCUGGAGCCCGAGGCCCAGGUGAGGAGCGGCCCGGGCACUGGGUUCUCGGGCUGGACCUUUACCUGCCUUCUCCUCCGCAGGAGCGGAGAUGGACUGGCAGAGACGCUCUGCUGCCACUUGACAGAAGGACCCCGUGGUAGGAAAGCGAGACCCGAUUAAGCCCUGCCAGGUACUGACUCACUCCACCUAUGUGGAAGGGUGUGCAACCUUGAAAGGAACAUUUGGAUUAAAAAUAGUGGGUGAACUUGUGGUUCUAAUGCUAACGCCCUUUUUAGUUCAUGGAGUACAGUACAGUAUACUAUGCUUCUAGGGUUUAACCGCCUUAAGUGUCCCAGCCCGUUUUUAAUACGUGCUUUUUCUGCUAAUUUACAGAGUUCAGGUGGAGUCACACUUAACAUUUUGAACUUCGUUUCUAAUGCAGACACUUAAAGCAGUUCUGUUCACCUCCUAAAAAGGUGUUCAAGCUGAGAUGGUAUAUAUAUGAUGCUGAAACCUUCAUCAACUCCUCCAAAGAUUGUUUGCACUCUUCUGUUUGGACUGUUUUUCCAUGUGUGGCUUGUGAAAUCACAGGAGGAGUGACUGUUGCCCAGGUACAUGAUUUGAGCAGAGUCAAACCUGUGGAGUUGAGUGUGACGAAGUAGAGAGCGUGGACCUAGAGGUUUAUUGGGAACCUGGCCCUCUGUUACCGCAGUACCUAAAUUUCUACCUUGUCUUUUCAGGGAGAACGAGAUUCCAUGCUUCGAGUUUUGAAAGGCAUGACUGCAAUUAGCAACGUGUGAAUAACAAACAACAUACACAAUCUCUUCAUCAACAACAAGGAACUGCAUUCUGACCUUCACAUUGUCUACGUGUGCUACUGAGUGUGGGGUCAUAUCCUAAGCUUCAGCUCUAAUAAGCAUUCAUCACAGGGAAGGUACGAUCUUGGAUAUUCAGUUGGCCACAAAUAGCUUUAAAUACAUUUAUGGUCAAGUCAAAUGGUAGCUUUGCUGAAACAUUAAUAGAAAAGCAUUGGUAAUUCAUGUCAGAAUGAGAUACAAAAUAAUAGGUGAAAAAUGAUUUCACAUAAAAGAAAUUUUGAUAAACCUGGAAAACAAUUUCAGUUAUUUUUGUCCAUUAACAUUAGCAUUUUAGUUUAAAGAGCUACUUGAAUCACAUGUUGUUCCUUCCCAUAAGAAGAGAUUUUGAGUACAACAGGAUGAAUUUCUCAUUGAGAAACUUGCUUUUGCCCCAGUUUCCUUUCUAGUCUCCAGUAGGACACUGUCAUCAUUCAGUAUUGGUAUUGUAGCAACUUAGAUGCACCAAAUUGCAACACAUAGGACUUAAGUCAGAGCCCCAUGGCAGUGACUCUGGAAAGACUAGUUUUAUUAGUUAUACUAUUAAGGGUUUUUUGUUGCUGUUUUAAGACUCCCAGAAAUCCAAAUUUACAUUUUGUGGAACAUGAGCCAAAACUAAUUGAGGUUGUUAUGGAAAAAUGGUCUCAUUUUAAUGGUCUAUAUAUAUUACCUCUGGGACCCUGCUGGUCAAAGCUGUGUGGCCCACAAGGCAAAAAUUAGAAUGAUGUUUUUCAUAUUGUCUUAGUUUUUUAUUACUGACUUUGUUACAGCUUGAUCUUUGGAGGUGCUUUGUACUGUGUAAAUGAAAUUUACUGAAAAUGUACAUAAAUAACUGACGUCCCAAUAAACCAUAAAUUGAUUUUUU